GAUGAACGCUGGCGGCGUGCCUAACACAUGCAAGUCGAGCGAUUCUCUUCGGAGAAGAGCGGCGGACGGGUGAGUAACGCGUGGGUAACCUGCCCUGUACACACGGAUAACAUACCGAAAGGUAUGCUAAUACGAGAUAACAUACUUUUAUCGCAUGAUAGAAGUAUCAAAGCUCCGGCGGUACAGGAUGGACCCGCGUCUGAUUAGCUAGUUGGUAAGGUAACGGCUUACCAAGGCGACGAUCAGUAGCCGACCUGAGAGGGUGAUCGGCCACAUUGGAACUGAGACACGUUCCAAACUCCUACGGGAGGCAGCAGUGGGGAAUAUUGCACAAUGGGCGAAAGCCUGAUGCAGCAACGCCGCGUGAGCGAUGAAGGCCUUCGGGUCGUAAAGCUCUGUCCUCAAGGAAGAUAAUGACGGUACUUGAGGAGGAAGCCCCGGCUAACUACGUGCCAGCAGCCGCCGUAACAC
rnacentral:rRNA from 1 species